GCCAGGGUGGCGUAAUGGUUCCAGUGUUGGACUACCACUCUGGAGACCAAGGUUCAAAUCUCUGCUCAGCCA